GUUCUUCUUGCAUAUGACUCCAAAUCUUCUUCGGGUCGGUAGAAAAUGUAAGGUACAUUCACUUUCUUCUCUGGGAACUGAUUGAAAUUCCGAAGGAUGAAUUAUAUUUGAGCAUGCAUUCUAGAGCAUUUAACAGAAGUAUAAUCGAUAAUUUCGUCCUCGAAAAAUCCUUCACUGCUGUAACUUAAUUGAACUAUAGAGUGAGCUGUGUUUUAGAUAUAUAUGAUUGAAAGAUGAUUUGAGAUUUAGAGUACUUGGACGUUCACAUUCUGUCCUGAACUUAAAUUGGAAAAAUGAAUUGUCUUCUUAUUACGAAUAUUUUCUAUAUUUACUCUUUUCUUUUAGUACUGCUUUGGACUGAUUAUUCAUGUAAAUACAUGAAAAUUAAAUAAAUAGAUCACAGAACAUUGAUAAAUAAGAACUAGUUUACAGUGAAUAAAAUAUAAUGUGUGUGCGUGUCAUCCCUGUCUUUUUGGUGUCCCACUAUAAUUAUUGUCAUUUUCUUUUUUCCAAAUUUUAUUUCUAGUGCUUUGGUUUAAUUUUAUGGUUAUUAAUUAGGGCUCAUUAAUUUAAUUAGGCUUUAUCUUCUUCUCUUUUUUGCAUAUAAUUUGCAAUUCUUCAGUGAAUAAUUAAUCAUUAGGGUCUAUUAUUUCAUAAUCAGAGAAUAUAAUUUUUUAAGCUUCAGUUUUGGUAAUACAUGUCAAUUAGGAUUUCCUAUUUAUUAGUAAUAAUUUUUAUUUUGAUAAUAAAUAUCACUAAUCUGCUGAAAUUAAUUUUGCAAUACAAUGAAACACAAAACAUUAUGAGGAAUAGGAUCCGAAGUUAGUUGGGCUUUAGGUUUUACUUUUAUUAUUCAAUAAUUUUCUUGUACUAGACACGAUAUGAAAUUCUUAUAUAUAGCGACGACACACGAACACAUACCCACUAUUCUUAACUCGUUAUUUUCAUAGAAUCCGCUAAUUCAUUAUUUUCGUGUACUUUUCUUGUCUGCAAAUGAAAUGAGAUACGAGAUUGUAAUUUAGUACAUUUCACUAUGUCGUAGCACUAGAUCUAUGUGACGGGAAAGUUGAAGAUUUAAAUAAGCAAAUUUGACUAAAAUCAGGCAAUAGAUCAAAUUUGAGGAAUAAUUAGAUCGAGUCAAGAUAUGUAUUGAUCUUUUGCAGAAAGGAAUCAUAAAAUACGAUUUUGAGCAUUAAUAAACUUUCAAAUCUAUACAUAUAUAAAAGCUGGUCCAUCUAGCAAAAAAAAUUUCCCGCUCUUUUACUCAAUCAAUUUUUGGAAAGUUGAUUUAUAUUUAGAAAGUUCACUAAUUCAUAGGAUGAUAUAUAUAAGUUGCGGGGCCCACUUGCUACAAUCUAUACAGUGCUCUUUUAUAUCAUGCUAAUUUAUAGUUUUGUGAAAAAUAUCCUUUAUUUUUGUGAAUUUAUAUUUUUUUAGAUAAAUUUAUAUAAACAUCCAAUAUUUAAAAUUUAAAGUCACCAAUAUUUUUCAGUGUGAAUUUAUAUAAAUUUUGAAUAUAUAUAUAUAUAUAUAUAUAUAUAUAUAUAUAUCCAAUAUUUAAAAUUUAAAAUCACCAAUAGUAAAUUUAUGAAUUUAUACUUAGAAUUUAUAUUUUUUGAAAAUAUCAUUUUCUUGUGAAUUUAUAUAUUUUUAGAUAAAUUUAUAUUGAAAUAUCCAAUAUAAAUUUAUAGUUUUGUGAAAAUUAUCAAUUUCAAUUAAAUCUUUUGUGAAAAACAUCUAAUAUUUAAAAUUCAUAAUAUAAAUACAUAUAAAUUGCAUGGGAUCUUGUAGUCAUUUGCAAAAGUGAAUAUUAUUUUUCAUUUACACGCAAUUUUUGACUAUAGAUUGUUUUUCAAUUCAAGAGAAUAAAAACUUAUUUACGAACUCUAGCAAUAUCUCAUAUUAAUUCUUACUGAUUUACACGCUAAACAAAGGGAUUGGUAUGCAUGAUCAAUGGGAUUUUUUGUAUGAUCUUCACAGCUAGACGAUGAAGAAGCCUUAUUUCAAGGUAUGCAUGGCGUCAAAUUUGUGGGGGAGAGAGAGAGAGAGAGAGAGAGUGAUAGAGUAGAAUGUAGUUAAUUGACAACUAUUCUAUAUAUUGCCAAAUAUAGAAAUGUAGCAUCUUUUUUUGUACGGCCCAAAAAGUCAUAUGUAGCAUCUUGGGUGGGACGGAGGGAGUAUUAAAUAUAUAAGUUUCAUAUAUAUCUCCCCUGAAAUGUGCAUCCCCAUGGCCUAUAUAAACUAACUUUUUGUGUUAAAAUUUUACUUACACUCCCUUCUCAUUUUGAUAUUCAUUAUUUCUCUAAUCACAAGCAUGCCGACCAUGUGGUCUUUAGUAAAAAAUUUGCAACCAAAUAAUGCCAGAUCUACAAUUAAAAUGAGACUUGUGUGUGCAUACAACCGCUCAUCUCAAAGCACCAACAAUGUUAUCAGCUAUGAGUGUAUUUUUCAUGAUCGUGAGGUAAAAAUUCUCUAUUCACUAAACUAUUACGUAUUUAAGCAUUUUUGCAACAUUAUUAUGUUUUUCUAAUUUAGUUGUUUUUUUAAUAUAGGGUGACCGCAUUCAUGCUACACUUGAUUGCACGUUGAUCCCCAAGUUCAAACAUAUCUUGAAAGAAGACAAUGUUUAUGCCAUAAAAAAAAUUUGGUGAUGCAUGAUUCCGAACAAAAAGUAUAGAACAACGACAAAUGUCUACUAUAUUAAAUUUAUUAAUAGUAAUCAUAUAGUUGAAAUUUAUGAAGAAGGUUUUCCACGCCAACCAUUUAACUUUAAAAGUUUUGAAGAAGUUGCCUCCAUUGAUAUUAUCAAUGACAAUAUGCUAUUUGGUAAUGUGUUUAUUUCAUUAUUUCCUUAUACAUGCAUAUUUAAUUGAUAAUCUCAAAAAUUCAUAUUUUUAUAAACUCAACAUUUUGAUAUAUCUACAUUAUUGGUAUCGCUAUUUAUAUAUGUAGAUGUAAUUGGUGUGGUUUAUCACAAAGUAGUCAAAAUUGUAUUUUGCAAUGAUGGAAGACAAGUUGAAGGGGUCUGAAAUCUUGAUAUGUAAUGAAGACAAAGUAGAAUGUUCGACUACUACAAAUGUUGUAUAUAAAGAAAUUUUCCAAAAUUUAUAAUAAUAAGAUGAGAAGUUUCCAAUUGUCUUUUCGUGUAUUAUUAUUUUACAUUGAUUUUAUGUAAUUAAAAAUGAUAGUCUUAAAUAUAUUUUAGUAGUAAUAUAAUUGGUAUAACAGUUGUAUAUUAAUGAAAUAUUUUUAAAAACUCAUUUAUUUUAGAGAUUAUACAAAAAUGUCUUCGAGAAUGUUACAAUAAAACUUUAACAACAUAUGUAAUCCCGUGCAUCGCACGGGUAAAACACUAGUNGUCGAGAAAUUCACUAAGAGAAUGAGAAAUGUUCAAAUUGCUAGUAGUAUAUGGAUUAGAAUCUCUGUUUAGGUCCAUCAGCAAAUUGUUAGUGUCCAUUUCACUGGUUUGUCGAAGAUGCUCAAUCCUUGGUCAAUACUCAAUGCACAUCAUGAUUAUGGAUGGCCAUGCUUUAUCUACAUGUGGACUUUACAUGCAUAGAGUUGCAGUGUUCAAAAACAAUACUUUUUGGCAAUUUAUUGUUUUCGCGCCUUUCCCGCUGGUUUCUAAAAGGAAAUUUUAUCGAUCAACUUUUUAGCAGACUUACACUUGACUCAGAAGUCACAACCACUUUAAUUAUUGCAGUCUCCGUUGAAGUUGCACCUACUUCCAGCAGAAGCCAGAAUAACCAGCACCGAGUACAAUGAGAGAAAUUUGAAAGGCGAGCCCCACAUAUUGGUAGAUGUGAGGCCUGCUCAUCACUACAAGAUCACUUCUCUCCAAUUCCUGACAUCCUUUGGCAAGCUUGGAAGGAAGGUUGUCCGAAAUAGCUACAGCCUAUGCAAGAGAGGAAAGCAGCCCGGCCGCCACUGGUGAAGCCAGUCGAGUUCCUCUUUGUUUGUUAUUUGCAGAAGAGGCAAUGAUUCUCAGAGGGCUGUUGAGCUCCUCCGCAAGGAGGGGUUUCCUUUUGCUAAGGACAUCAUCGGAGGCCUUGAAUCAUGGUCACAAGACGUUGAUCCUAAGUUCCCGAUCUACUAAUGAUGGUUCUUCUUGCAUAUGACUCCAAAUCUUCUUCGGGUCGGUAGAAAAUGUAAGGUACAUUCACUUUCUUCUGUGGGAACUGAUUGAAAUUCCGAAGGAUGAAUUAUAUUUGAGCAUGCAUUCUAGAGCAUUUAACAGAAGUAUAAUCGAUAAUUUCGUCCUCGAAAAAUCCUUCACUGCUGUAACUUAAUUGAACUGUAGAGUGAGCUGUGUUUUAGAUAUAUAUGAUUGAAAGAUGAUUUGAGAUUUAUAGUACUUGGACGUUGACGUUGUGUCCUGAACUUAAAUUGGAAAAAUGAAUUGUCUUCUUAUUAUGAAUAUUCUCUAUAUUUACUCUUUCUUUCUAGGACUGCUUUGGACUGUGAUUAUUCAUGUAAAUACAUGAAGUUAAAUACUUAAAUAGAUCACAGAACAUUGAUAAGUAUAAGAACUAAUUUACAGUGAAUAAAAUAUAAUGUAUGCGCGUGUCAUCC
rnacentral:lncRNA from 1 species